CGGGAUGGCUGCGGCGGGGACGGCGAUUGGUCGGGAUGUGUGGUGCCACUGGCCGCCGGCUCCGCCCUGCACGCCGC
rnacentral:pre_miRNA from 1 species